AUUGAACGCUGGCGGCAGGCCUAACACAUGCAAGUCGAACGAGUGGCGGACGGGUGAGUAAUGUCUGGGAAACUGCCUGAUGGAGGGGGAUAACUACUGGAAACGGUAGCUAAGACCGCAUACCAUAAGAUGUGCCCAGAUGGGAUUUGCGAGUUGGUGGGGUAACGGCUCACCAGGGCGACGACCCCCAGCUGGCCUGAGCGGAUGACCGGCCACACUGGAACUGAGACACGGUCCAGACUCCUACGGGAGGCAGCAGUGGGGAAUAUUGCACAAUGGGCGCAAGCCUGCUGCAGCCAUGCGGCGUGUAUGAAGAAGGCCUUCGGUUUGUAAAGUACUUUCAGCGGGGAGGCGUUACCCGCAGAGAAAGCACCGGCUAACUCCGUGCCAGCAGCCGCGGUAAUUC
rnacentral:rRNA from 1 species